UACGGAGGGUGCAAGCGUUAUCCGGAUUCACUGGGCUUAAAGGGUGCGUAGGUGGGCAGGUAAGUCAGUGGUGAAAUCUCCGGGCUUAACUCGGAAACUGCCAUUGAUACUAUCUGUCUUGAAUACCGUGGAGGUUAGCGGAAUAUGUCAUGUAGCGGUGAAAUGCUUAGAUAUGACAUAGAACACCAAUUGCGAAGGCAGCUGGCUAGACGAAUAUUGACACUGAGGCACGAAAGCGUGGGGAGCAAACAGG
rnacentral:rRNA from 1 species